rnacentral:rRNA from 1 species
CGGGUGAGCAUCACGUGGGUAACCUGCCUCGGAGUGGGGAAUAACACCGGGAAACCGGUGCUAAUACCGCAUACGAUCACGGAGUCUUCGGAUCCCGUGAUGAAAGGCAAUGUCGCUCUGAGAGGGGCCCGCGCCCGAUUAGCUAGUUGGUGAGGUAACGGCUCACCAAGGCAACGAUCGGUAGCCGGUCUGAGAGGACGGUCGGCCACACUGGAACUGAGACACGGUCCAGACUCCUACGGGAGGCAGCAGUGGGGAAUUUUUGACAAUGGGGGAAACCCUGAUCAAGCAACGCCGCGUGGAUGAUGAAGUAUUUCGGUACGUAAAAUCCUUUCGACAGGGAAGAAGCCUUCGGGUCGACGGUACCUGUAGAAGAAGCCCCGGCUAACUCCGUGCCAGCAGCCGCGGUAAAUACGGGGGGGCAAGCGUUGUUCGGAUUUACUGGGCGUAAAGGGCGCGUAGGCGGCUCGUUAAGUCGGAUGUGAAAAC